rnacentral:lncRNA from 1 species
AACCAACCCUGCUGAUACCUUGAUCUUGGACCUCUAGCCUCCAGAGUGGUUUCCAGUCAUUAUGUAUUCAGUUCUGAAAACAUCAACUUCUCUCAACAUUUCUCCUGAGCACGCGGAGCCAGGAAAAUGUGAAGCUACUUGAAUCCCCUCUCCAUGGCCAGGAAUGGAUCAUCGUAAGGUGCUGGCCAGUGAAGUGUACUCCGGUUUCUCUCUUCUCUCUCCUGGGUGAGCCUCUCGUGACAUGGUCCCAGCGAUCACCUCUGAGCAACGCCUUGCAGAACAGUGGUGCUGCCCUGAGCCAGCUCUGGUCCCGAAUUUCUUACUGCUUUGAUUCAAGAGGGUUGACUAGUUCCUUUCAGAUCUGACUUUCCUAAAAUGGGAGCCCUAUUUUGAUUUCUUCGUUUCCGUCCCAUGGCUGACAGUGCUCGGUCAGCUGGCCUGCAAAGCACAUGCUGUCCCUCAUUGUUCCCUCCUUCCGGAUGCCUGGGUCCAGGGAGCUACUAACUCUGGGCAACCCUUCUUCCAGGGUGCUCCUUCCCCGGCAGCUGGUGCCAUCUUUACGUGGUGUGAAUCAGAUCACGCCACCCUGCUCAGAAUCUUCCACUGGUUUCCAAUACUUUAACUCCUGCCUGAGUUUCUACCUGCAGGCUGCCCUAUGGAGUUCAGAUUUGCCACCUUCACAAUUGC